AGUGAACGCUGGCGGUAGGCCUAACACAUGCAAGUCGAACGGCAGCACAGAGGAGCUUGCUCCUUGGGUGGCGAGUGGCGGACGGGUGAGGAAUACAUCGGAAUCUACUCUGUCGUGGGGGAUAACGUAGGGAAACUUACGCUAAUACCGCAUACGACCUACGGGUGAAAGCAGGGGAUCUUCGGACCUUGCGCGAUUGAAUGAGCCGAUGUUGGAUUAGCUAGUUGGCGGGGUAAAGGCCCACCAAGGCGACGAUCCGUAGCUGGUCUGAGAGGAUGAUCAGCCACACUGGAACUGAGACACGGUCCAGACUCCUACGGGAGGCAGCAGUGGGGAAUAUUGGACAAUGGGCGCAAGCCUGAUCCAGCCAUACCGCGUGGGUGGAGAAGGCCUUCGGGUUGUAAAGCCCUUUUGUUGGGAAAGAAAUCCAUCUGGUUAAUACCCGGGUGGGAUGACGGUAUCCAAAGAAUAAGCACCGGCUAACUUCGUGCCAGCCGCCGCCGUAA
rnacentral:rRNA from 1 species